UACGUAGGGGGCAAGCGUUGUCCGGAUUCAUUGGGCGUAAAGCGCGUGUAGGCGGCCAGGUAGGUCCGGUGUGAAAACUCGAGGCUCAACCUCGAGAGGUCAUCGGAAACCAUCUGGCUAGAGUCCGGAAGAGGAGAGUGGAAUUCCCGGUGUAGCGGUGAAAUGCGCAGAUAUCGGGAAGAACACCGGUGGCGAAGGCGGAUCUCUGGGCCUUACCUGACGCUGAGGCGCGAAAGCUAGGGGAGCGAACAGG
rnacentral:rRNA from 1 species